rnacentral:rRNA from 1 species
ACGAUCAGUAGCCGACCUGAGAGGGUGAUCGGCCACAUUGGAACUGAGACACGGUCCAAACUCCUACGGGAGGCAGCAGUGGGGAAUAUUGCACAAUGGGCGAAAGCCUGAUGCAGCAACGCCGCGUGAGUGAUGAAGGCCUUCGGGUCGUAAAACUCUGUCCUCAAGGAAGAUAAUGACGGUACUUGAGGAGGAAGCCCCGGCUAACUACGUGCCAGCAGCCGCGGUAAUACGUAGGGGGCUAGCGUUAUCCGGAUUUACUGGGCGUAAAGGGUGCGUAGGCGGUCUUUCAAGUCAGGAGUGAAAGGCUACGGCUCAACCGUAGUAAGCUCUUGAAACUGGGAGACUUGAGUGCAGGAGAGGAGAGUGGAAUUCCUAGUGUAGCGGUGAAAUGCGUAGAUAUUAGGAGGAACACCAGUUGCGAAGGCGGCUCUCUGGACUGUAACUGACGCUGAGGCACGAAAGCGUGGGGAGCAAACAGGAUUAGAUACCCUGGUAGUCCACGCUGUAAACGAUGAGUACUAGGUGUCGGG